UCCUAGUUAACCUAGGCAGUCUCAUUAGAGUUCCCACCAUUACGUGCUGGCAACUAAUGACAAGGGUUGCGCUCGUUGCGGGACUUAACCCAACACCUCACGGCACGAGCUGACGACAGCCAUGCAGCACCUGUAUAACGGUCCUUGCGGAAAAUAACAUUUCUGCUAUCGUCCAUUAUAUGUCAAGUCUGGGUAAGGUUCUUCGCGUUGCAUCGAAUUAAACCACAUGCUCCACUGCUUGUGCGGGCCCCCGUCAAUUCUUUUGAGUUUUACCCUUGCGAGCGUACUCCCCAGGCGGUAUACUUAACGCGUUAGCUUCGACACAGUCAGGAUUAAGUCCGACUACAUCAAGUAUACAUCGUUUACAGCAAGGACUAC
rnacentral:misc_RNA from 1 species